UGGGGAAUAUUGCACAAUGGAGGGAACUCUGAUGCAGCGACGCCGCGUGAACGAAGAAGGCUUUCGAGUCGUAAAGUUCUUUUAUAUGGGAAGAUAAUGACGGUACCAUAAGAAAAAGCCCCGGCUAACUACGUGCCAGCAGCCGCGGUAAUACGUAGGGGGCUAGCGUUGUUCGGAAUCACUGGGCGUAAAGGGUUCGCAGGCGGAAAUGCAAGUCAGGUGUAAAAGGCAGUAGCUUAACUACUGUAAGCAUUUGAAACUGCAUAUCUUGAGAAGAGUAGAGGUAAGUGGAAUUUUUAGUGUAGCGGUGAAAUGCGUAGAUAUUAAAAAGAAUACCGGUGGCGAAGGCGACUUACUGGGCUCAUUCUGACGCUGAGGAACGAAAGCGUGGGUAGCAAACAGG
rnacentral:rRNA from 2 species